rnacentral:lncRNA from 1 species
CAGCACUUUGUUGCAACCUCUCAUAAUCUCCCAAAACCAUAUCUUUAACAAAGCCAUCCAUAUCAGGCUCUCUACAGUGUUUUCCCAGAUGCAUUUCUUCCAUUUGUGCAUCCAAGAGUACAUUAUUCAAAGAAUCAUCAGGAUCAGGUUCAGAAUCUCUUGGAUUGCUUGUGUCUACCUUGUUUGACCUGGUACCUGUUGAAUCAGUCUCCUUGGCUAAUUUAAUAUCUUCACCACCUAAGGUAUCAUCUGGAUCAGGUUCACUUCUAGACACUAUCAAUCCUCUAGCAUGGGAAUCAUCAGGAUCAGGUUCAGACAUGUUCUUACUAUCCAAGCAAUCAUAGGGGUCAGGUUCAGACUCGUUCUUUUUAUUAAAGGAAUCAUCAGGGUCAGGUUCAGAAAUGUCCUUAUUAUCCAAGGAAUCAUCAGGGUCAGGUUCAGAAAUGUUCUUAUUAUCCAAGGAAUUUUCGGGGUCAGGCUCAGACAUGUUCUUAUGGUCCAAGGAAUCAUCAGGGUCAAGCUCAUCAAGCAUAUCAAGCAUUGAUGAUUUCGAAAAGGGUCUCCUGGCAUCCAUAACCAUAUCCACAAGCAUGGCAUCAUUCUCUGAAGUCACCAUAUCAUCUGGGUCAGGUUCAGAAAAUUUUCCCUGAUCAUCCAUCAGCUGGCUAUCAUCAGGAUCAGGUUCCUUGGAUUUAACAGGCAUGUGGUCGUAGAUAGAAGCAUUUGCCAUUCGGUUAUAGGCAGCAGCAAUCGAUGAUGCACGUGCAGAAACUAAUGAAUUUGUUGCACCCCCAAGCUUUUGACCACUAUUCUUGCUACUCAGUUCGACAUAAUCCUCCU